rnacentral:lncRNA from 1 species
CAAAAAUUGAUUCGAAUUAGCCAAUAUUAGAGGAUACAAUCCCUAGAGGAAGAGAGCGAGAUGCUUGUUUUCUCUGACGUAAUCCUCAAAUCGCUUUUCUAUUGGUUAGAAGGUUGAGAACCAACGAGAGGAGUAAGAAACUAAAGAGAGAUUAGCCUCUGGAGAGAGAAAGAGGGUGGAAGGGAGAAAAAAGUCGCCAGAAACUCUACCUAUAACGUAUGAAAUCUGUUUGGCUGCAUUUGCUAUAGAUCCUCCUGUUUUCUCAACCAAUCUCAAAGAUGGGAAACACACACAUCUUCUUCCGAACUGUUAAUAAAAAAACUUUCUUGCACUUAGAAGAUUCUUGCUAGAAGGAAAAAAAUGCGUUUUAUUUCUAGUUCACACUUUUUCCCAUCCUCUACCCCAAAGCAAGAAUUCUGAAGACGAUAAUAUAGGGAUUCUAUACAGGAAGAUAGAAGGAUACCAUUGAAGAAGAUAUAGUGAUUUCAUAAAGGGAGGUUUACAGAUUCUGUAGGCGAAGUUUCGGUGAGAUAUAAGGAUUCUACACAAGGCAUUUCCCUAGAGAGGAGGUGACUUAAAUUUUAUAAAUUAUCAGUGAUAGGAAGUGAAUUCCUUUCAUUUUCAUGUCUAAGUAGGGAUCAUCUAUCAUUAUAAAUACUUGUAAUAUUUGAAAAUACUGUAAAGAAGAGAAAACAGUAAUGUUAAGGUCUUUGCUCGUGCCGAAUGCAAACCUGGAAUUGGGAAAAGUGGCCUUUCAAGUCAAAGUAGCCCCUUGUUGAAGAUAAAGAGAAAAGUUAUACCUCUUACUAGAAGCAAUGGCCAUACACGUCUGUCUUGAUACUUGACUUAUCUACCAAGAUUGAAGAUUGCUGCCCAGAUGUGUAGGAAAUCAAUAAGCUUACAGGAAUCUAUUUUCUUUAUACCAUAUAUUUUUUUCUGCUGUAUAAACCGAUAUUUCUGUACUAUAUAUAGUGCAGAGUACAGGAAAAUUCGAUAAACUGUAAACAAAAUAUUGACCAGAAGUUAGGAUGAAGUGUCGAGAUAGAAAAUACGAUUGUUAUCGUUAAUAAUUGUGUUUAAAGUGGUCAGUAAUUAUUCAACUGCUUAUUAAUCACUUCUCUGCAUAAAGUGAUGGUUUAUUAUACAUGAUUUACGAUGGAUAUCUUUGUAAAUUUUGAUGUUCUUACGUUUAUUUUGGAGUUUAGACAGGGUUAUUUUUCGAUUUUUAUGAAAAGAAAUAUGUAAAUAUUUUAUAAAAUAACUUUUCUUAUUGAUAUACAACAAACUGGAUACAAUUAUAAGCAGUCUGUGAUAAGCAAGAUGAAACAACCUUAUCGACCUGAUAGAAGAAGCGUAGAUAUAUCAUUCUGUCCUUUAAAA